GUAUUAAACAUAAAUAUUUAUCUUUUUGUAAAAUUAACAAUGUAAGAAUCUGUCAAAUUGACAAGUUAAUCUUGCACUAACAUGGCUGCCGGGAUCAAUAGAAAACUGUCAUGAUACCUUUUGCCCAUGCUCAUUGGUAUUAUUAAAUUUUUUAAGAUGUAUCGUAUAAAUAUUUCCCGUGAAUAUGAAUUAUUUUAAAUUAUUAUCAAAGUUCUUUAUAUAUUUCGUGAAAAUGUCAUAAUUUUGACGAUUGUAAUGAUAGGAGAAAGUGUUCUGAAUAACUGUUGACCCGUGAAAAGAGGGUGAUUCACAACAAUGUAAUUCAGCAUUAUGAAAAUAUCACCUUUUUUUACGAUCCAUUAAAAUGUAUAGAUAUUAUAGCAGUACCUAGUAUUUUACAUAAAUGUCGACGAUAUUGUUGUUAUAAAAGUAUUAGUUACAUAAAGUUCGAAUAUAUUUAAUAUUUUUACAUAAUUUUUGUUACAUAGUUGUGACAAGACAGUGCCUAUUCCUACAAUUUUACUUAAUAUUUUCUGAUCUUGGUAGAGCAGAAGUAUCACGCUUAAUAAAGGAAACUAUUAAGUUUCCGAUAGGUGAAAUAUUAAUAUGGACAUUUUUGAAUUUAUUUGUACAUCUGUGAUUACAUUUGUGUGUGGUAUAAUAUGUACGCUAUGUUUGGAGUUUUACUUGUUCAAAAAAUAUUUGGAAGAAGCUCCCUUAGCAAGUCCUCCAAAAAGAUCAAUCCAUCAUGGAAUGGCUCAGUUACCUAAAGAAUUACUUGAAAAGAUUCAAGAUGAAAAGACAAAUCCUAACAUAAGUAUAUCACGCCAAGCCAUGUGCCAAGGUAACGAAAACUUGGCAAUAAAUUUAACGUUGCAAUUUUUGUUUAAUGAACUUCGAAAUGCUGAACGAGUUCGUCUUUGGUUGUAUAGAAAAUUAAAUAAUGAGUUCAAAGAAUUAUUGACUCAGUCCACUACAGGGAAAUUAUUGGAUAGUGUACAGUUAAGGGAUUUGAAUUUGGGUACUCAGUUUCCCACCAUAAAAGGUUUAGAAGUUGCAGAUUCAAAAAUAGAUGCUGAUACGGGUUUAUUGGAAACAUUGGAUUUAUCUUUAGAUUUGCAUUAUUCUGGAAAUUUUCAACUGUCAAUAGAUGUAAAAAUGCUGCUGGGUAAAACUGCUUACAUGGCUUUACAAGUGAAACGGGUCAGUGGGAGAGCGAGACUGCAAUUUACACGUGUUCCGUAUACUCAUUGGUCUUUAAGUUUUUAUUCAGACCCUAUACUUGAAUUAGAAGUGCAAUCUCAAUUUCAAGGUCGUCAAUUACAACCACAAAUUAUUUCCUUAAUCACAGGACAGAUUCGCAGAGCUGUGCGUAGGAAACAUACACUACCUCGCUAUAAAUUGCGUUACAAACCAUUCUUCCGCAGACUGAACGAUGAAGCGGUAGAUUUAUCCGAAGUUGCCAAUAUGCAAUUAAUACCGGGUUAUUUGGAAGUAUCAUUACUGGAAGUGAGUAGAUUAAAUCUUGGACCUAAUACGCUUAAUGCAGAAGAUAAAUCACAGAUCGAAGUGUAUUGUACGAUAAGUAUAGACUCAACACCUUGGGUAUAUUUGACUCAAUAUACUGGAGUUCCUUAUAUGGUGUUGGAUUUGAUUAUUAGUAAAGUUAGUUCUCAGCAACUUGGUGUAGUAUUUAAACAAGAACUUGUGCCAGAAAUAGGUCAUGUUUGUGUGCUAGUCGAAACUAUAAUAACUGGAAGCCCUGCAGCUAUUGCUGAAAUGAAAAAAGGGGAUAUUUUAGUAGCAGUAGAUGGUAAAAAAGUAUCUAACAUGAAUCAAGUAGGUAAACUUGUAAAGAGUGCUGUACAAAGGCGUUUUAUCAUAAGAGUUGAAAGAAAGUACUCAAAAGCAGAUUUGGAUAAACAAGCUAACAUGAAACUGGACAGUGAAAGAUUAUCUGCAGAGAAAGGAAUGGACAGAAAACCAUUGAAAACUGAUGCGUUGAGUAAAGGAGAUAGUAUUCCUAAUAUUGAAGAGAGUGCAAAGAUUAAAUUUGAAAGUCAAAUUAAAUUUUCAGAUCUGAAAGAUUCUGAAAGCGAAACUUCUGAAAAGCCGGAAACAGGUAGUAAAAUUUUUAAAAGAAGAAAAAGUAGCGCACAUACUACAGAUGAUACUGCUCAAACACCUGACAGUAUACCUUCCAGAAAAAUUUCAACCACUUCAAAUCAGUCUAUCAUAUCGAGUAACUCUCAGUUUUGUUUUAACGACGAUAGUUACAUAAUAAAUAUAUCAGAUUUAUAUUAUACCACGAAAGAAAAGGAACAUGCCUCUUUAAUUACUUUCGAAGAAACGAGAAACUUUCAAAUCGACUCGGAACUUCAGUACUUGAACAUAGGCGUAUGGGGUCGUGUAAGAGGAGGAGAAAUUCAGGCAAAAUUAUUAGGAUAUAUAAACGUUCCCAUGAAAUUAAUAUUAGCACAAUGUUACACGUCUUCAACUGGUCAUUAUCUUAAAUGCCAUGCUUUGUUACCACCAGACAGUGCUUCUUUGACAACCGUUCACCCAAAGUUACAAGGAUAUUCAGGAUUCGAUCCAACACUUUGUUAUGGUGACAUUUUAUUAUCUUACGUAUGGGAGUCCAGUUAUCCGAGUCGACAGUUAUCUGGUGAUUCAGGAAAGAAAGAGAGUACAGAAUCUGCCAAAAUACAGCCAACAUUGAACGAAGAGAUCACGAAUAAAAAGAUGCACGAUUUUAUUAGAACGCAUUUUCAUAGAGCAACACAUUGCGACUUUUGUACAAAGAAGAUUUGGCUAAAGGAUGCGGUACAAUGUAGAGACUGCGGCAUGGUAUGUCAUAAAAAAUGCGAAGUGCGCUGUCAAGCAUCAGGAAUGUGUGGAGCUGAGAGUAUAACGACAGUGGCAUUAGAAGCUGAUGAAAUAGAGCCUAAUACUCUUAUCGGGGAUUCAGGUCCAGAAAUUUCUCUAACCAGUUGUGAAGAUAAUGUACAGGGUGCAACUAUGAUGGCCAUGAAGGCUAGUAUAGCUAACACUCUGUUGGGCCUGAAGAAGGCUGGAAGCACCAGUUGCUUGGCCCCACCGGCUUCCGGUACCGGUCUGGCAUCUAGAAGUCUUCCCCCAAGUCCCUGUGCAUCCCGCAAGGUAGAAUUUAAUAACACACAGAUUUGUUCGCUUGGAACAGAGAAGGAUCAAAUUAACAAUUAUUCUAUAUACAAACAUUGGGACAAUGAUUUAAUUUUAUUUUUCGAACAUUCGGAUAUAGUUGUAGACCUUCUCUGCUCUGUAUUUGUUCUUUGUCCUUUUCUUUAUACCAACAAUUACGAUGAAUAAAGAUCACGCUUAUGACUAAGGUAUUUGAGUGUCUAGUUUUCCAGCUUGGAAAUGUUUUAUCCUAUUCAAGGGAAUCAACCGAAGAAGGCGCAUUGUUUGUCCAAAUAAAAUGUUAUAGGGAUUAGAUUUUUCUUUUCAAAAAUUUAUAGCAGAAAAUUUGUAGAACAUACGUUGUAACGACGAAAUAUGUGACUCUAAAAGUCAGCUUUCGUGAAUGUUUGAAAAGGAAAAUCUGUAAAAGAGACAGUGCUCUUUCUUCCCAUGUUCCCUUUAUUUGCGUUCGCAUUUUUAUGCAAUAUUUCUUAAACUUCUGUACACCAGCUUACGCUCUUCUUUUCUGUCGCUAACGAACACACUGUUUUCUGUUGCUCAUGGCACUAAUUAUUUAUUUGGGAUGACAGAUAUACAUGCAGAUGCACAUUGAGGCCGUCACGCUUAUUAUAUAAGACAUUAUAUAUUGAUGCUGUUACAACCUUUUACAAAAAACAAUAAGCGUUCGAAUAACUUGGCUUUGGUUGCGUUAGUUUCUUACGUUUUUUAAACUAUCGUAUGAAUCGAGAAUUCAUUGGUCGGAGGAUUGGGCAUAAGUUCUGAUCUUUUGGAGGGUGCUGAGCCUAGUGUGGCAGCUCCUCUAUUAGCCGGC
rnacentral:misc_RNA from 1 species